rnacentral:rRNA from 1 species
CCUACGGGAGGCAGCAGUGGGGAAUAUUGGACAAUGGGCGCAAGCCUGAUCCAGCCAUGCCGCGUGUGUGAAGAAGGCCUUUUGGUUGUAAAGCACUUUAAGCGAGGAGGAGGCUACCGAGAUUAAUACUCUUGGAUAGUGGACGUUACUCGCAGAAUAAGCACCGGCUAACUCUGUGCCAGCAGCCGCAGUAAUA